rnacentral:rRNA from 1 species
UCUUCGGAGAGUUUGAUCCUGGCUCAGGACGAACGCUGGCGGCGUGCCUAAUACAUGCAAGUCGAGCGAAUCGACGGGAGCUUGCUCCCAGAGAUUAGCGGCGGACGGGUGAGUAACACGUGGGCAACCUGCCUAUAAGGCUGGGAUAACUUCGGGAAACCGGAGCUAAUACCGGAUACGUUCUUCUCUCGCAUGAGAGAAGAUGGAAAGACGGUUUACGCUGUCACUUA